GUGGGGAAUAUUGGACAAUGGGCGAAAGCCUGAUCCAGCCAUGCCGCGUGUGUGAAGAAGGUCUUCGGAUUGUAAAGCACUUUAAGUUGGGAGGAAGGGCAGUAAGUUAAUACCUUGCUGUUUUGGCGUUACCGACAGAAUAAGCACCGGCUAACUUCGUGCCAGCAGCCGCGGUAAUACGAAGGGUGCAAGCGUUAAUCGGAAUUACUGGGCGUAAAGCGCGCGUAGGUGGUUCAGCAAGUUGGAGGUGAAAUCCCCGGGCUCAACCUGGGAACUGCCUCCAAAACUACUGAGCUAGAGUACGGUAGAGGGUAGUGGAAUUUCCUGUGUAGCGGUGAAAUGCGUAGAUAUAGGAAGGAACACCAGUGGCGAAGGCGACUACCUGGACUGAUACUGACACUGAGGUGCGAAAGCGUGGGGAGCAAACAGGAUUAGAAACCCGAGUAGUCC
rnacentral:rRNA from 1 species